rfam:Canis lupus familiaris chromosome 14, whole genome shotgun sequence.
GUGCUUGCUUCAGCAGCAUAUAUACUAAAAUUGAAAUGAUACAGAGAUUAGCAAGGCCCUUGUACAAGAAUGACAUGUAAAUUCAUGAAACGUUCCAUAUUUUA